CCCUUAGAUGUCCUGGGCUGCACGCGCGCUACACUGAUGUGUCCAGUAAGCACCUAACCUCUUCCGAAAGGAACGGGUAACCUUUGCAAAGCACAUCGUGAUGGGGAUAGAUUAUUGCAAUUAUUAGUCUUGAACGAGGAAUUCCUAGUAAGCACAAGUCAUCAGCUUGUGUUGAUUACGUCCCUGCCCUUUGUACACACCGCCCGUCGCUCCUACCGAUUGAAUGUUCCGGUGAGCUCUUCGGACUGCGCGGUCUGCAGUUUCUGCGUUCCGUGCGGAAAGUUGCGCAAACCUUAACAUUUAGAGGAAGGAGAAGUCGGAACA
rnacentral:rRNA from 1 species